CUUGAGUCAAUGACUGGACUAACUUUCACAUGGGUCGACAGUUAACGUUUAAUGGAAUUACUGAAUGGAGAUCAAUGCUGUUUUCUUGUUAGCACAACUGUUAAGUAGAAGAUGUAACUUUUUUUUUACACUUGCGGUUCCAGUUAUUGCCUACUUUUUAUUUGUAUUAUUAUCAUUAAAAUGAAUGUUCGAUAUGAACACAGACAGGUACAGUACACCUAUACUCCUAGUUUCUGACAAGAGGAGAUAAUCAUCUUUUUCAACAAUUUCAUUAAACUAUAACGCUUUUGAGAUCAUAUGAAUAUUGAAGAAUGCUGUUUGUCAGUUUGAUAUGUUUUGUUUAGUGAGGUUGUGCUUGCUGAUGAUUAUAUAAAGAUGUAUUUCUUCAAUUUUGUGCAGAUCUGACAUUGAUAAUGGUCAGCAUCAGGAAUGUCCAGGAAAUGGCCAAUUGUGAUGUUCAAGAGCGAAGGGGGGUAUAAGAAUGGACAGGAAGUAAUUUGGCGAGGAAUUACUUUCUGUAAAAGCAGACGACUAAUGGCCUCAAGACAACAGUUGCAGCUGAGUCUCCUAUGGUACUGCAGAGCACAUUUAUAACAAUUAUUAAAUCAGUGGUCCAAAGCUGUGGGACAACACAUUAUUGUACUUGAUAAUGUAAUUUAUAAGCCGCUAUAAUUUAUACAAAUCAAAAUGUCUGGGUUUAGUGUGAUUCUUGUAAGAGCCAAUUUAUGCUUCAUCCGAAAAUGUUGUGGGAGGCGCCAUUGAGUUCCAUAGCGCAUCACCGUGCGCCUCAAAUUUUGUAACAAUACGGAGGGCUCUGUAUACUGUAGCUCUGCAUUGACAUGAAGUCCUGUAUAAUCAGAAACUCACUUCCUUGAAAACUUCCUUCACAACAAUUCUACGCUGCUCCGCAAAGCGCAAGAAGUAUGAAUGCCCUGACUUCUGCAGAGGACGUAAAUGCUGCACAGACAAUGCAGACAGCAGAUUGACCAUGUAGCCCUUUAAGAGGAAUGCAUUUGAUGUUGACCUCGCUCAAGCAUUUGAAAACCCCUCUGUUUCCUGUCUAUUUCCAGAGGCUGGUUUUCCUUGGGAAAGUAAACUGACCUUGCUGUUUAGAACUAGCCCCAUCCCAAUGUUCUGUCUGCCUGUCAAGGUUCAGAACAAAGUAUUCAGUUUAAAGAAUCCUCCAACAAUCAUGAUGAACACUGUUUCUAGAUUAUUAAAUUAGUGUAAAACUAAGUUUGGAUUUUCUUCAAUCACCUUCUGUGAUUAAUGCUUAGAGUUUUUCCCAAUUGUUUACACACUAAAAUUGGAACUUGAAACGCAAAUCACAGAAACCUGAAACUCAUGUACCAAAUCCCUAAACCAAAUCUGCAAAAUUGCAAGCACAAUUCCUGCUUUACACUCAGUUCUCAAUUUGCAAUUGCGCUGACAAGGUAAAAAUCUGUCAUUCUUGCCCUGAACAAGGCAGUUAACCCACUCUUUCCUGGUAGGCUGUCAUUGUAAAUAAGAAUUGGUUCUUAAUUAACAGACUUGCCUAGUUAAAUAAAAUAAUAUGCAAAAGUUCUCUACAUUAGGCACAAAUUUAAAAUAUAUUUAGUCCCUUUGGAAAGCAACGCCAAUCACAAUGCCAAACUCUAUGUAUCAAUUGGCAACACCCACUCCUCACAGGUGUAAACACUAGUUGCUGAAUUGUUCACUUAGAAAUCAGAGCUUUAGCACUUUAAACGGCCACAGAUUAGCGGAUCAGAAGGUGAAGAAGUUAGAGGACGAGGAUGAGGAAGGACAGUUGUCUCAGAUGAGAUCAGGGCCACAUUGGUUGACCAUGUGCUCAACCAGGGAUUGAGUAUGAGGGAGACUGGGCAGAGAGUUCAGCCCAACCUGAGCCGCUACAUGGUUGCAUCUAUCAUCUGUACAUUCAGAAAUGACAACCAAGAGUCUUGGAGCUGGAUGCCGUUGCAAUUCAGCACGUUUAUAUUUACAUUGAUGAGGCUGGCUUCAACCUAGCCAAAAGAAGGGGACGCAACAUUCAUAAUGGCCAAUAAUGUUCCUGGACAGUGUUGAGGGAAUAUCACCAUGUGCGCAGCCGUUAGCCAGCAAGGUGUCCUCCAUCACCAUGCCAACCUUGGUCCCUACAACAACCCCCCCCUUCUCAUCACAUUCCUGGACACACUACAUGGCAUCCUCAUUUCAGCGGAGCAGAGGGGUGGACCAGAGCAGCCCAGGUAUGUUGUCAUCUGAGACAACGUGAGUUUCCACCGGGCUGUUCUGGUCCGCAACUGGUUCAUUGACCACCCACAAUUUAUUGUUCUAUACCUCCCACCAUAUUCCCCAUUCCUAAAGCCAACUGAAGAGUUUUUCGGCAUGGCGACGGAAGGUGCAUGACCUCCAUCCCCUCGCACGCAUGCCUCUUUUCCAGGCAAUAGAGGAUGCAUGUGGUGAAGUUCCUGGGGGGCUUUCAGCGGCUGGAUCCGUCACUCCAGAAGAUUCUUUCCCCGCUGUUUAGCCAGGGAGAACAUUGGCUUGUGAUGUAGAUGAGGUGCUGUGGCUAGACCAAAAUAGGAGGCAGGAUGCAGCCUAAUGCAUUUUUUCCUUACAUUUUGCAUGUAUUUUUGUCUUUAGAGUUUUGAAAGAAACAGCCAGUCCUUUUUGUUGUACAGAAAACCCUUUAUUUUACUGAAUGCUUUUCCUGGAUUUCUGCUGUUGAGUAUGGAAAGUGUUACAUACAAAACACAAGUAUUCAAAAAUACUGCAUUUUAAUGACAAUGUUUUUGUUACUGUAUUGCAUUUAUGUAUAUUUUAGUAGGUAUACAUUACUGAACAAUCUUUUACAAAACAGGCUACAGUGUAACACUGAAAAUGCAAAAGGCAUAAACCUACUGAUGGGAUAUUCACAGUAGUGUUUUGAGCACAUAAGUGUGUUGGUUAGUAGACAGAUCUAUUCAUAUGACGCAUGUGUGUCAUUUUGAUGCAAAAAACAUUUUGGAAAGAGAAAAACGGUUUUGAAUGCAGUGUUUGCUUUUGCUAGAGCUUUGUAGAGUUUUGCAUUUUUUGGUUGUGUUUUGUGAAACUGGGCCAAAGAUUCAGCAAACGUGUAAACAAUUGUGGAAAACUGUUGCUAAGAAGCUAAUCUGACUGCCCUGCAGCACACCUUGCACUGGAUAUGACCUAAGUCUCCUCAUAGGUCAACAGACGCCUCUACUCUCUCCAUGGGUCAGACUCCACUCUAUCCAGCCCAUCUGAUCCAGUCUGACAGAAGACUUCAUUGAUUAUAUCAGAGUGAAUCAGCGACUAAGUUACUUGAGUGGUUUAGUGACACUUAUUUUUCCGCUGGUUAGUGGUUAACCUGUUGUUUGGAGAAGUCUAAUUGGCUCUGGUAGAGUGUGAUAAGGCUCUACUCCGAAUAUUCCCACUACUAGCGUACCACUUAGUUAGGAUGGAGCAGUGCAUUGGUAUGCUAGUGCAUUGGUAUGCUAGUGCAUUGGUAUGCUAGUGCAUUGGUAUGCUAGUGCAUUGGAAUGCUAGUGCAUUGGAAUGUAGACCUUGAUUGCGAAGUACAACAACUCUCUCUUGCCUUCCUCAUUAUUUUUCUCAGGAAAGUUGUGUAACAGUCCGACCAUGAAGGCUUGGGUCCACUGAAGUGUCUGGGGACAAUCCUUCAUCUGGACCUUACUAUGCUGUUAAUACAAAGAGGCC
ensembl:lncRNA